rnacentral:rRNA from 1 species
UUAAUGGAGAGUUUGAUCCUGGCUCAGGACGAACGCUGGCGGCGUGCCUAAUACAUGCAAGUCGAGCGGGGUUACUUAGAAGCUUGCUUCUAAAUAACCUAGCGGCGGACGGGU